rnacentral:ribozyme from 1 species
UGCCCAGCAAGUCCUAUCCCUACCUCCUCGUUGUACUGGCUGGGGUACGAGUUACUUUAGGGAAGAUCUGGUAACCAACCCCGGUGGGAACUUUGGUCGUAUGCUGACAGGGAAGG